GCCGGUGCGCGACACCAGCCACCGCGACGGCAUCUGGCGCGGCAUCGAGCAGGGCAUCGUCGAUGUGCUCGGCUCCGAUCACGCGCCGCAUACGCUGGAAGAGAAGGAAAAGGUCUAUCCGGCGUCGCCCUCCGGCAUGACCGGCGUGCAGACGCUGGUCCCGAUCAUGCUCGAUCAUGUCAAUGCGGGACGGCUGUCGCUCCAG
rnacentral:misc_RNA from 1 species